UCCUCCAAACUGUGUGCCUGCCCUGU
rnacentral:piRNA from 1 species